GCCACGGUACUGUAGUGGUUUGAGCGUUGGACUAGGACUCUGGAGACCAGGGUUUGAAUCCCUGCUCAGCCA